GACGAACGCUGGCGGCGUGCUUAACACAUGCAAGUCGAACGCUGAAGCUCAGCUUGCUGGGUGGAUGAGUGGCGAACGGGUGAGUAACACGUGAGUAACCUGCCCUCUUCUUUGGGAUAACGCCCGGAAACGGGUGCUAAUACUGGAUAUUCACUGAUUCUCGCAUGGGGGUUGGUGGAAAGGUUUUUUCUGGUGGGGGAUGGGCUCGCGGCCUAUCAGCUUGUUGGUGGGGUGAUGGCCUACCAAGGCUUUGACGGGUAGCCGGCCUGAGAGGGUGACCGGUCACAUUGGGACUGAGAUACGGCCCAGACUCCUACGGGAGGCAGCAGUGGGGAAGAUUGCACAAUGGGCGAAAGCCGGAGGCAGCGACGCCGCGUGAGGGAUGGAGGCCUUCGGGGUGUAAACCUCUUUCGCUCAUGGUCAAGCCGCAGCUUGGGGUUGUGGUGAGGGUAGUGGGUAAAGAAGCGCCGGCUAACUACGUG
rnacentral:rRNA from 1 species